rnacentral:rRNA from 1 species
GUAGGGAAUAUUGGGCAAUGGUCGGAAGACUGACCCAGCCAUGCCGCGUGCAGGAAGACGGCCCUCUGGGUUGUAAACUGCUUUUAUCUGGGAAGAAAAAGGCCAUGCGUGGCAAAUUGCCGGUACCAGAUGAAUAAGCACCGGCUAACUCCGUGCCAGCAGCCGCGGUAAUACGGAGGGUGCAAGCGUUGUCCGGAUUUAUUGGGUUUAAAGGGUGCGUAGGCGGCUGAUUAAGUCAGCGGUGAAAGACUCCGGCUUAACCGGAGCAGUGCCGUUGAUACUGGUUAGCUUGAGUGUUGGAGGGGUACAUGGAAUUGAUGGUGUAGCGGUGAAAUGCAUAGAUACCAUCAGGAACACCGAUAGCGAAGGCAUUGUACUGGCCAACAACUGACGCUGAUGCACGAAAGUGUGGGGAUCGAACAGGAUUAGAUACCCCGGUAGUCC